UACGUAGGGUGCAAGCGUUAAUCGGAAUUACUGGGCGUAAAGCGUGCGCAGGCGGUUCGCUAAGACAGAUGUGAAAUCCCCGGGCUUAACCUGGGAACUGCAUUUGUGACUGGCGGGCUAGAGUAUGGCAGAGGGGGGUAGAAUUCCACGUGUAGCAGUGAAAUGCGUAGAGAUGUGGAGGAAUACCGAUGGCGAAGGCAGCCCCCUGGGCCAUUACUGACACUGAGAGACGAAAGCUAGGGGAGCAAAUGGG
rnacentral:rRNA from 1 species